rnacentral:rRNA from 1 species
GACGAACGCUGGCGGCGUGCUUAACACAUGCAAGUCGAACGGUGAAGCGCCUUCCUUUUUGGUGGGUGUGGAUGAGUGGCGAGCGGGUGAGUAACACGUGAGUAACCUGCCCCCUUCUUCUGGAUAACCGCAUGAAAGUGUGGCUAAUACGGGAUAUUCUGGUUCUGUCGCAUGAUGGGUCUGGGAAAGAUAUUGUUUCGGUGGGGGAUGGGCUCGCGGCCUAUCAGCUUGUUGGUGGGGUGAUGGCCUACCAAGGCGGUGACGGGUAGCCGGCCUGAGAGGGUGGACGGUCACACUGGGACUGAGACACGGCCCAGACUCCUACGGGAGGCAGCAGUGGGGAAUAUUGCACAAUGGGCGCAAGCCUGAUGCAGCGACGCCGCGUGAGGGAUGGAGGCCUGCGGGUUGUGAACCUCUUUCGCCAGUGAAGCAGGCCUGCCUCGUUUGUGGGUGGGUUGACGGUAGCUGGAGAAGAAGCGCCGGCUAACUACGUG